UAGAAACUUCAGCAUUUUGUUUUGUAAAGCUGUCACCAGCUUGAUGGCUUCUCAGUCAGAUAAAGCUUUGACCUCUGAGCCACUUCCUCAUUUGAGGAAAGCACAACUGCAAAAUUAACUAGCCCUGUGCCACUUCUUUGUAAGUUUCUCACACUACAUCGAUAUGAAGAAGCUGAAGGCUGCUUUGAAUUAUCUCCUGAAGGACCGGUGCUGUGGCCUUAAUUCAAGAUGCAUCCUUCACGCUUUUGAGAUAGAAAUUUAAUGCAUCCUCUGCUUUCUAAGUAGAAAUUUUGGAAAUACAUUUUCAAGGAGGAUGAGGCUUGACAUGUGGCGAGGAGCGAAGUGUGGCGAGUUCUCAGCGGGAGGUCCUUCGAUCCCGGGUUGCAGACUGGCCGGUGAUGCCUGUGAUGGUUGAGCCUCAAGGAGUGGAGGGUUUCAGCCUCGUCCAUUUCCUCAGCUUUUGGCAACAGUUCUCCAAACUUCACAAAUCUGAGAAUUAGGGAGCUCUUAGGGAAGCAUCCCACUCAGGGCGAGAUGCUGGUCACAACCCGCUGCAGCCCAGGAGAGCUCAAAGGGUCUUCACUUCGGACAACUUUUUAUAGGGUCACAAGAUAACUGGCUUUGAUCAUCAGUAAGCUUCCAUCCUGACCACAAUCCAGGAAUACCAGCUGCCCUGGCUGGCUCGUGGCAGGACAAACUGUUUUCUGAAGCACGGAAGGGGCCAAGAAGAAGAACUGCUAGAAAGAAAAUGCCCAAUCCUAGG